UGCCGAAUCAGUAAACGGAGCAAAUUUCUCAAGCCAUGCGCUGACUCAGCAAAUAUGUGUGAAAGCAGUGUAGCACAACCUUGGGGCAGUGCAAAAAAGCAAAUGGGAAAGUAUAAGCAAUGACCUUCAACAAUCACUAUGUUUAGAAUGUGCUGUGUGCACGGAAUGCUGUAGCAAUGUGCAAGGCUGGUUAGCACCUAGCAUCCCUUAGCUUAGCAAGUCCAGUUGAAUUUGAUCUGGCCAGCAAGUGAUAACUGCAAAGGGUGUCCCCCGCUCUUCUGCAGCGUUCUUUGCACUUUGCUGCAUCAACACAAUCGAGGCGUAAUCGAAAUGAUGCGCUUGACUUUGACCUCUUCUCUCCUCGUCAGUGGGCGGGCCACCGCUUCUUAUGUUGGAGUCCUUAACAUUGCCAGACAAAGACAAAACCCCCCCAAGGCCAACUUUUCUGCCAAAAUAUUCACAAAGCGUAACAGUAGUGCAGAUGAUGCAAGUCAUUGCUAAGUAUUGACACAGCACUGGACUGUUUGGGAUGCUUUCAGGCAAUUCAAACCUAAAUAUAGUAAUUAUGAACUUUUUCAAGAAUAAAAAAAACCUUUCUAUACAAAUAAGAUUAAAUACUAAGGUCCUGUUAAGGCAAAACUACUGAAUGUGUUGGAUGAAAUCAUAAGGAAAGCAAUGUUAACUACUUUGUAAUUGUGCUUUAAGCUGCAGUGCGGUGUGCAAAUGCGCCUCUGAAAAUGCUGCAGUCUUCGUCAUGCCUCUCUGCCUCGCAGUGUGAUGCAAGGGCCUUGUUUUUUUUUUUCUCCUCGGUGAUGGAGUCCAGUUAGGCUUGCGGGAUAACAUUAUUUGGCAAAAUGCUAAUUAAAAAAAAAAGCCCUUAAUCAAUGCAUGAGAAGUCAACAUUUUAAAUGUCUGAUGCUUCUUUUUAUGUCUUACAGUAUUAUGAAUAUUAUUUCAUUUAAUUCAUGAUAUAUUUUUGGGCCCAAUCAGAUACAUUUGUUGUAUAUGGCAAAAGAGCAAUUUUUUUUGGUCCCAUUUAUUCAUUUGUUAUUUCCUCGUCCAUUCACCAUCCAAUAUGUUCUCGCCACUUUUCCAUUCCAGCCUCUUUGUCCUCUUGUCUUUUUGUGAAUGGAGCAGCUUCAUCACCUUAUUACAGGCUCCUUUUCGACUUGGCGGACAACAUUUUGCCCAUCAAGCCUCCUGCGCUACCGCCUACCCAAAUAAAGAAAGGAAAACACAAUUUGUAUUCUGGGCCAGCGUCUGGCAACGGGAGAGGCGAGUUAUUGGAAAGAGCUAGGGCUUGUUAAAGUCACACUUUAGAAGGAGCACUCUUGAUUUCUAGAUGGGCCCUCAGGUCACUUCUGUAAACAACAAAAAAAAUGUUUAUAAUCAUUGCAGGGAAUAGGCCUCCCAUUUUUAAUCAACUCAUCAGAGCCUUUCAGCAAGUAAUAAUUACAAUUGAUCGAGGUGAAAAUUGUUUGGACCUGUGCUGUUCUUAUUUCAGGGCAACAACAGGAAGUCGAUUUGAAAUAAGAAUUUCUAAACAGUAUUUCAACCAAUUUGACAGUGGAAGGGUAUUACUUUUUGUCAAUUAAAAAUGAGUUUUUCAGUUUUUUGAAACUUUUUUUUAUGCGUGUCCUCUCAUCAAAACUGCUGGCCGGUGCCAUCCUCUGAGGAAAAAAAUCAGAAAAUGCAGAAAAGAAAAUACGUAUGGGGCCACCUUGUUCGAGCGCUGCCGAUGCGUGCUAGACCGCCACUGACCUUGCAGCAGAAAGCGGCUAAUCUGUGGCGGCUCAUACACAAAGACACGCACUCGUACACAAAUGUGAGCCUCGGUCCGCGCCGGCCGCUCAGGACUGGCCUCGGGCCUGCUGGUGGCGAGCAGGCUUCUUACAAAAUGAGGGGAAGGAUGAAAAGAGGUCAGGGAAGCCCGAGUCGCUUUCACUUGUGAUACGCGGCCAUUCAUAAAGCUACAAAAGACGUGACUUUCAGCUCCGAGGAAUUAAGAAGACAACAAUGUCAAAAUGGAUUGUUUGACCUCUUCUGCUGCUUUUUGAAAAGGAGACCAAAGAAAGUGAAGGUAAAGCACUUUAAAUAUAUAUUAGAGUCAAGUCAACAUCUAAAACUUCUGCUUACUUUGAUCCAACUGCCUUUGCUUGCUUAUUAGAAUUGAUCAGAUAUGAUCAGAGUAAUCCUUUCAUCGCAACUAUUUGGACACAUCAUACAAGCUUUUUUUUUAAAUUUUGCAUAACAUCACUGUUCGUGUUCAGUCAUGACCAGAAUUCCAGCAGAGAUGAAGGCUUGAAAUCAAAUACAGUGACACCUUGAAGUUUGAAUGCCCCCCCAUUUGGAAUGCAACCAAAAUUGAGUGAAGAUGGACACUUCUAUGUUCUACUUUGAUAAAUCCGUGAUGUGACGGGUAAAAAAAACUCCAGUUUAACUUUGACAAACAGUCGAUUAGCAGCGGCGAGUCGAUGAGCUGGCAAUUGGGAAAGGUGCCGCCUGAUUUGAUAUGGUUUAUGGAUUAAAUGAAAUGAAGUGGUAAGGAAUGAAGGUCAGAUGAAUGCAGAGAAAGGACGACGCUGUUUAGGCAUGAGGAGCAGGACGUGCCAAAGCGAGGGAGGGAUGGAUGGACGGAUGGACGGAUUGAGGGAGGGAGGGAGGGAAAGCCUCCACGCCAAAUGCUUGUUUUGCUAGUUCAGCCUAAUCUCAGCUAUUGAGAUUAGCUGUCAUUCACACUCUUAGUUGAUGAUG